UACGGAGGGAGCUAGCGUUAUUCGGGAUUACUGGGCGUAAAGCGCACGUAGGCGGCUUUGCAAGUUAGAGGUGAAAGCCUGGAGCUCAACUCCAGAACUGCCUUUAAAACUGCAUCGCUUGAAUCCAGGAGAGGUGAGUUGGAAUUCCGAGUGUAGAGGUGAAAUUCGUAGAUAUUCGGAAGAACACCAGUGGCGAAGGCGGCUCACUGGACUGGUAUUGACGCUGAGGUGCGAAAGCGUGGGGAGCAACA
rnacentral:rRNA from 1 species